CUUGAGGUCUAUCCCGAUGGGGCUUUCCCAGUAGCCACACAUCGUUGGAAACGCCUCAUAUAAAAAAAAAAAAAUUUAGGACUUUUCAUGACAGUG